rnacentral:rRNA from 1 species
CCUACGGGAGGCAGCAGUGGGGAAUAUUGCACAAUGGGGGAAACCCUGAUGCAGCGACGCCGCGUGAAGGAAGAAGUAUUUCGGUAUGUAAACUUCUAUCAGCAGGGAAGAAAAUGACGGUACCUGACUAAGAAGCCCCGGCUAACUACGUGCCAGCAGCCGCGGUAAUACGUAGGGGGCAAGCGUGAUCCGGAUUUACUGGGUGUAAAGGGAGCGUAGGCGGUUUGGCAAGUCAGAAGUGAAAGCCCGGGGCUCAACCCCGGGAAUGCUUUUGACACUGUUGAACUAGAGUGCAGGAGAGGUAAGUGGAAGUCCUAGUGUAGCGGUGAAAUGCGUAGAUAUUAGGAGGAACACCAGUGGCGAAGGCGGCUUACUGGACUGUAAAUGACGCUGAGGCUCGAAAGCGUGGGGAGCAAACAGGAUUAGAUACCCUUGUAGUC